GGAAGUAAAAGUCGUAAUAAGGUUUCCGUAGGUGAACCUGCGGAAGGAUCAUUAUUGUAUAACCGAGGUGCGAGGGCUGUCGCUGACCCGAAAGGUCGUGCACGCCCGAGUGCCCUCACACACAUCCAUCUCACCCCUAUGUGCACCACCGCGUGGGUCCCCCUUUGGCUUGUUCGGAGGGGGGCUUACGUUUUCACACAGACUUUGUAUGCAGUGUAGAAUGUAUUUUUUGUUUUUGCGAUCACGCAAUCAAUACAACUUUCAACAACGGAUCUCUUGGCUCUC
rnacentral:misc_RNA from 1 species